GGCGCAGAGUUGGUCCUGAAUUGACGGCCCAACCUGGUCCAGAUGAACGACUGAGAUAAAAAGAUACGCUGACAUUUCUGCGCUCGGAGAUCAGGUCGAAGUUGUCCAACGUCAGAAGUUUACUCCUUAAACUGAAAGGCAAGAUUGAUCAUCCUGAAGAUCUUCAGCACAGUAAGGAGCGUUGUUUUUCUUUUAUUUUGUGCCGUGCCGCUGC